CAGAAUGUUAAAACUUAAUAGGAUGAUUGCACAUGCAGAGUUUAUGACCUCUAUUUAUUUUGGGGGUCACUGGACCUGAACAUGAGAAACAAUUUCCAUUUCAUAAGUUAAGAACCACAAGGCCCAGAAUUUUGAAACUUAGUCGGAUGAUUGGACAUGCCAAGUAGAUGAUCCCUUUUGCAGCCAACCAUCAUUGUCUCUUUGACUUUUGCUCCUGUCCCCUAUUGACUUCUUGCCUAUACGACUAUGCAUUUGGGGAGACAUGCAUUUUUCUUCAAAAUCAUCUUCUAGUUCACCUUUGCCAAACUUGCAGCUCCUGAAGUCCGUAUUUACCUUGUUCCUGUGGGCAUGUCAUUGUAUUAGAUUUUGUUAUCGUUAAACUACAUAAGCUUUUUGUAUUUAAUUAAAUUGAAUUAUCGUUAUCGUUAAACUACAAAAUCUUUUUAUAAUUUUGGACUUGAAUUAUCGUUAUUGUUAAACUACAUAAGUUUUUUUUUGUAUUUGGAUUUAAAUAAUUGUUACGUAUGCUUUAAACUAUAUUGUAUUAUCAAGGGGUGCGGUAUUCCCAUAUACUGCUUAAGGGAUUACUUUCGUUGUUUCUGAACUUUAACAAAUAUUUUAGUAAAUUUUAUAAUUAGAUCUUGAAUUAAAAUAUGUAAAUGAAAUUUUGUUUUGCUUAUUUAUUUAAACAUGAGCUGUCAAAAGUAGGUUGUAUUUUGGUGGUUUCACAACGUUAACCAACAACGUUGUCACAACGUUGAUACGACUCCACAUAUUUACGUUGUCACAACGUUGUAUCUGACCGCAACACAACGUUAUGCCACAACGUUGUCGCAACGUUGACACGACUCCACACUUUUACGUUGUCACAACGUUGUUUCUAACGUUGUCACAACGUACAGCACAACUUUGUAACAACGUUGUCACAACGUUACUGUGCUUCCUGGGAUGGUACGUUGUUACUAGAUUUAUGUAAACAAACAGGUAUGCGCAUUUUCAAUGGUAGACUGGACAAAGACAAUGGUAUAGCUCUGUUGGCCAUUUUGUGCGGCGAAGCGGAACGUGCCAGCGAUAUGCACAACUAGGGUUGGUACUGAACUCUCCUGUGAAGUUUCGUCAAAAUCAAGCCAGCAGUUUGACCUGUGAAAGCCGGACAAUAUUCUUCCAUUUUUAGCUCUUGUGGCCAUUUUGUGCAGCGAAGUGGAACGUACCAGCAAUAUGCACACCUAGGCUUAGUAGUGAUCUCGUUGAAAUCCAGCCAGCAGUUUGACAUGCGAAAGCCGGACAAGAUUUUUCAAUCUUUAGCUCAGGCGGCCAUUUUGUGCAGCGAAUUCUGACUCCUGGUCAGAUUUUUAAGGAAAUUAUUUCCAUUACUCUGAAAGCCAUGUCAAUGUACGUAUUAUCAGGGGUGAACAUAAACUUUAUAAUGUAUUAAUGUGUGUCGUUGUUUGUCAGUUAAAAUAUGAGAGCAUU